AGCGAACGUUUGCGGCGGGCCUAACACAUGCAAGUCGAACGCACUAGCAAUAGUGAGUGGCGCACGGGUGCGUAACACGUGGGUAAUCAACCCUUCAGCUUGGGAUAACGACUUGAAAGGGUCGCUAAUACCGGAUACGGCGCGGGAGGCUUCGGCUUCUCACGAGAAAGCCUCGCAAGGGGCACUGAAGGACGAGCCUGCGGCCCAUCAGCUAGUUGGUGAGGUAAGAGCUCACCAAGGCGAAGACGGGUAGCUGGUCUGAGAGGAUGAUCAGCCACACUGGAACUGAGACACGGUCCAGACUCCUACGGGAGGCAGCAGUGGGGAAUAUUGCGCAAUGGGCGAAAGCCUGACGCAGCCACGCCGCGUGAGCGAUGAAGGCCUCGGUCGUAAGACUCUGUGGGAGGAGACGAAGAAAGA
rnacentral:rRNA from 1 species